GAUGAACGCUGGCGGCGUGCCUAAUACAUGCAAGUCGAGCGAACAGACGAGGAGCUUGCUCCUCUGACGUUAGCGGCGGACGGGUGAGUAACACGUGGAUAACCUACCUAUAAGACUGGGAUAACUUCGGGAAACCGGGGCUAAUACCGGAUAAUAUAUUGAACCGCAUGGUUCAAUAGUGAGAGACGGUUUUGCUGUCACUUAUAGAUGGAUCCGCGCCGCAUUAGCUAGUUGGUAAGGUAACGGCUUACCAAGGCGACGAUGCGUAGCCGACCUGAGAGGGUGAUCGGCCACACUGGAACUGAGACACGGUCCAGACUCCUACGGGAGGCAGCAGUAGGGAAUCUUCCGCAAUGGGCGAAAGCCUGACGGAGCAACGCCGCGUGAGUGAUGAAGGUCUUCGGAUCGUAAAACUCUGUUAUUAGGGAAGAACAAAUGUGUAAGUAACUAUGCACGUCUUGACGGUACCUAAUCAGAAAGCCACGGCUAACUACGUG
rnacentral:rRNA from 1 species